CGAACAUGAUGAUAUCUCGAACUAAAUCCUUUGUCUCUAAAGGACUCUGUAGCUUAUCUUUAACUACUUUAUACCAUUAACACCUGCAAAGCUAGUUUUAUUC